AAACUUUCAACAACGGAUCUCUUGGUUCCGGCAUCGAUGAAGAACGCAGCGAAAUGCGAGAAGUAAUGCGAAUUGCAGAAUUCCGUGAGUCAUCGAAUCUUUGAACGCACAUUGCGCCCCCUGGUAUUCCGGAGGGCAUGCCUGUUCGAGCGUCAUUA
rnacentral:rRNA from 1 species